AGGUUGAUAUAACAGGGACAAACUCGGACCCAAAAGAAGAACGGAGGGGGGCCGACAUUUAACUGAUGGCACGAUACCAGCCUUCAAUGGACAUCCCCGCGCGCAGCAAGGAGGAGAAUGAUGACGAAGGGACCAUAGCUAUCCCUCGCGUAUCGGAUUUCUCUAUCCUGAGUCGAUGUACCGCAACUUUGCUGUCAACAUAACGAAGGGACGUCUAGUUCACAUGAGGCUUUGCGAAGCAUGGGUGGAUACGAAUGGCGACUUCCCUAGAGAGAUACAACUAUGGACCGAAAGAUGUGCCUGGGGCGUGGAGCUGGUGAAAGAUGGGGACUUUCUCCAUCUGAAGAAAGGAUGGCGUGGGUUCACAGAGGAGCACGGCGUGAAGGUAGGGGAUGUCGUCCACUUCCAAAUAGUCACCCCGUCUGCAUGGGUUCUCCGCAUCAAAGCACCGAACAGAGAGAUUAGAUGCCCGCGCAGCCACUGAGUUGGUAUUUGCUUUUGUUGCCUGGCUUUUCCGGGGGCAUGGUUGCUAGUUGAUGUGUCCCUAAGAUCAGAAAGAGGAUAUCAUUUUGAACUGUUUUUAGCGCAGUACUUGUUAGGCCACAAAAAGCACACUCAAAACACAUCCUCCCCUCCGACUGCCCAUGAACCUGCGGAGCAGCGAGCAUACAAAAAGUGCGACCCCCUUUCGUGUGUAUCAAGUAACCUCCGUUCGGCUCCCUCCGUUUACACUGGUUUUGUAUGCAUGUUUUUUGUAUGUGGCCUUUAGAAAGAAAUGUUUAUGGAAGUA